rnacentral:rRNA from 1 species
GUGGGGAAUCUUCCGCAAUGGACGAAAGUCUGACGGAGCAACGCCGCGUGAGUGAUGAAGGUCUUCGGAUUGUAAAGCUCUGUUAAUCGGGACGAAAGAGCCUAGUGUGAAUAAUGCUAGGAAGUGACGGUACCGGAAUAGAAAGCCACGGCUAACUACGUGCCAGCAGCCGCGGUAAUACGUAGGUGGCAAGCGUUGUCCGGAAUGAUUGGGCGUAAAGCGCGCGCAGGCGGAUCUGCCAGUCUGUCUUAAAAGUUCGGGGCUUAACCCCGUGAUGGGAUGGAAACUACAGAUCUAGAGUAUCGGAGAGGAAAGUGGAAUUCCUAGUGUAGCGGUGAAAUGCGUAGAUAUUAGGAAGAACACCAGUGGCGAAGGCGACUUUCUGGACGAAAACUGACGCUGAGGCGCGAAAGCCAGGGGAGCGAACGGGAUUAGAUACCCGAGUAGUCC